GGAGCGGAGCGGGGCGGGGGGGGAGCCCGCCGCGCCAGCUCCAGCAACCGCCGCCUCACUGGAAACUUUCUCCUCAGUGGCCAGCGGCCCUUCCCGCCCCUCACCCGCGGAGCCGGGGCCGGCCGGCACGACAGGGCUCCCCGCGGGCAGCCGGGGCCGGGGCCGGGGCCGCACCGGCCUGCCCUGCGCCGCGAUGGACUCCGGCGGCGGCGAGACCCACGAGCUCAACGGGCUGGCGGAGGGCGCGGAGCCGGCGGCCGACGAGCGGCGCAGAAUGUCACAGUGGUUUCAAAGAAAUGGACCUAUGAAUAUCAAUCACUACGCAAAUAAGAAGAGCGCUGCGGAGAGUAUGUUGGACAUUGCCCUGCUGAUGGCCAAUGCCUCCCAACUGAAAGCCGUGAUGGAGCAAGGACCUUCUUUUUCCUUCUACAUCCCACUUAUCAUUCUUAUCAGCCUGUCGCUGACAUUGCAAGUCAUGGUGGGAGUGCUCCUGAUAUUCCUUGUAAAAUAUGACCUUAACAACCCUGCAAAACAUGGAAAGCUGGAUUUCCUCAACAACCUUGCAACUGGACUAGUAUUCAUUAUAGUAGUUGUGAAUAUUUUUAUCACUGCCUUUGGAGUGCAGAAGCCGUUUGCUGAGUCAGCAUCGAGACAGUAAGUACAAGUGAAAGAAAAACUCAAGAGGGAAGAGAGGAGAAGCAGGUUUUGCUUAUCACACCGGUGUAUGCUGAGUAGAGAGGAAGAUGAGUUGACAAUCCAAUCCCAAGCCAGUUAGUGCCUUAAUAUAAUGGUAUAUUGAGAAGUCAGCUAAUAUCCAGAAGAGACCUGAAUCAUUCAUUCUAGAUGCCAUUUGCCCUUGAGCCAGUUACACUUGGACACAGCGGGGAAAAAAAGAUAAUCUGAAGAAGCUGGACGUACCGAGCAGCUUUCUCAAGUUUCCAACAACCAACACAUUUGUGUACUUAAAUUUUCCCAUGUGUUAAUAUUUAAACUCUUUGGCAUCUAAGGAAAGGUUGAUUUUGAUCCAAGGACAUCGUUUUUCUGGAAUAUUGGCAUUUCAAUUUCUGUAGAAACUCAUUGUUUUUCAGAGAAGUGGCAUAAGCUCAUCAAACAAGGUAAAAGCAACCCGUGGCACUUCACAGGACUUCCCAUUUUCCAUGCCUUUUGUUUUUGUGGCAAUUUGUCAUUUCCACCAUGGUAAGAAAUGGCAGGCCUUCGGUUCUGGCGUGGUCACAUUGUCCUUUGUUUCACUCGCUUGGCACCAAACCUAUGUACUCCAGAGCUCAGCAGUGGUCGUUCUUUGCAGUGCGCAAAGGGAGCUGUGCCUUGUUUUCUUUUUUGUCCACUCUAGCUAAACCAAAGAUGAGACAAACAGAAACAGCAGGCUAUCUUUUGUCCAGUUUUGCUCACAGGUACUCAUUUGUCCUGUUUCUUCAUCUCUGGACCACACUUAAAAUUUCCUCUCCUUUGUCCCCAGACACACAAAUAACCUAGUUGCUAAUAGUUUCUUACUAUUAACUGCUAUACUUUGUAUUCUGUGGGUUUUAAUAUAUUUCUGGAAACCCUGUUAGAAGCUCUACCUUUUCUAGGCCGAACUGGAAAACUAGAGGAUACAGGGUGAACUUUACCUGCUAAACUGGUACUGAGUGCCUGUCAGCAAUUCAAGUAGCAAAUUGAAAGAAGUUCAUCCCUCUAUAACUUACUUUUCCCUCUUCUCUUCCCAAGAUUGAUUGCUGCAGUUGUGUUACUCUUAUGAGUUUAUGGCUAAAAGCGUAAGUAAUUUUUUAAUUUUUAUUUUUAAACAUAUAUAGAGAGAUAUUUAUAUCUUCUAGGUUCUUACCUGCUGGCUCAGGGACUGACACUUUUUCUAAAUACAGUAUUGCUAGUAAUGGUGUAGGUUAUAAAAAUUUCUGCAACAAAAACAUUUCAGUCAUUUUAUUUCCAAAGUAUGACAUCUGCAAUCAGAAAAAUCCUAGUUUUCUAGAUUGUGCUUACUUGUAGAUGCAGAUUUGUACUAAUACAUUUCCUUACCGUUAAUUUUUAAAUGUUCCCUUGCACAUGUUAAUAGAAGUUUGACUUCCAUGUGUUUCAUCUCAUUUACAGUUUUUAUUGAUCAAAUUUCUUGUUAGUUAUGUCUCAAGGCCCAUUGAUGUACCACAUCUUCAUUUACAUGUUCUGUAGAAUUACUAACAGAAAACAAAUCAGAAACUUGUGUGAUUAGUAAUGGAAUAGACACUCUUUUUCAUUUUUUAAUUCAUCUUUUGUUGCUUCAUUUCCAACUUAACAUGUAUUUAACCAGUAUCUACCAAGCAAUGGUUUUAAUUGUGCGUGUUGUACUAAUUUAAACCUAGCUCAGAACAAGUUCUGAAUGAAGCACUCAGGACAAUUUUCCUUAUUUUUUACAAACCAGCGAACUGUUGAAGGACUAUUCAUGCAUACUUGUGCUAUCGCAGUUUCAAUGCUGCAGUGUGGUGAAUUGACUGGCCAAAUAGCAGUGCUGAAAACCUUAAAAACCUUUCUUUCGGAGAAAAUAGGCAACUAUAAGCAGAGCCCUUCCAAGCAUCAAAUUUAUCUGUGGCUCAACAUUGGGCAGUAAUUUUGAUAAGAUCCUUGAAUGUACCACCUUUGUUACCUUCACCUUUUUACUCACUGGAAUAUUUGCCCAUCUGUGCAUCUGGUUCAGUCUGGAGAGGCUCUCUAGAGGCACCUACCUCUCUUCUGUACAGGAAACUGUACCUAAGCUAGGUGUCUGAAGUAGUUGCUUUGUAUCAUCCUAAAUACAUAACCUGUCCAAAAGAUAGUUACUUUUAACUUAGGUAUGAAUAUUAGAUAUUUUUCAUUGCCAGAUUUGCAUCUCUAGUUUUUUUAGCAAGACAUUAAGGUAAGAAGAAAUGUGUUUCUGGCACUUUGCUAAUCCACUCACUUUUUGGCUUGCCCUUAAUACCGUAAAGGCAGAUGCAAACAGAUGCCCAGGCUGUACUGAUGUUUACCAUCUUUACACUUGGUGGUGAUUUGGCCCAGUUUUGAAUGUAGCUUUCCAUUCCUGUGCUACUUAUUGCCAUGGCCCUCUCUUAUGAGCAUGAUCAUGUUUGUCUUGCACUGAAACAGCAGUCAGAGGGGGGGUGCAGUACAGACAUACCAGGUCUUUUCCCAUUUUAUUCCCUUUUUUAUUGGAGCAUAAUUUUUGAGGUCACUCAAGCAAACAAGCUGUUACAGCAGGUUUCUCCUGAAAAACAUAAUAGCUGUUCUUAUAGCAUCUUUGCUGCUAAGCUGUUGUCCAACAGAAACUACCAAGGCUUGUAUAUCCCAUCUCCCAGCGGCUUGUGGAACUAACUGGAUCCAGCGCCGUAGAGCAGGGAACAGUCACGAGGCAAUGACUUGUCAACUACGGAUUCCAGUGGACUUCGCAAGACACAGGUUUUGGGACAUACAGAAGGGAAAGAAAAAAUACUUCAAGCCUGAACUCAUUGUUGGGUGCCAAGAGCUGGCUGUGGAGAUCAGCAUUAAGGGGUUAGGUGUCUGUUCACUUGAAGUCUGCCAGAGCCGGGCAGAACAAAACAAGAACAACAGAACAACAACAAAAAACUGUCAUGAAUCCUUCUGCUUCCUGAGCUCCUGAAAGUGUGGCUGAAGCAUCACAACAGAGAGACUUGCAACUUCAGAGGGCCUGGUCUCUUCUUUUGGUUCUAAAUACAUGAAAACCUGAUCUGAAAGUCAUCCAUCUGACUACGAGACUGUACUGGGCAUCAGGAGGUUUCAACUUGCAACUGGAUGUCUUUUUUUAAAUAAAAAGGAUGCUGGUUUAUUA